rnacentral:lncRNA from 1 species
CCCAGUGCACCAUGCAAUAUGUGCCCUCCUUACUACCCAUCACCGGUCUAUCCCAUUCCCCCACCCCCUCCCCUCUGUAGCCCUCAGUUUGUUUCCCAGAGUCCAUAGUCUUUCAUGUACAACAAUUUCUAAGAUGUACAUUUUUUAAGUAAAAAGAGUAGGUGACAAACCAGGGUUAUGGUAGGCUACCCCGUAAUUAUGCCAAUGUUUGCACGUAUGUAGACUACCUCUGGAAGGAUAUACAAGAUAUUACUAUUUGUAAUGGUAUCUGCCUCAGGAACAAAGGUGGUAGGGACACAACUUCCCAGCACACUCUCUUGGUAUGUAAGAGUAUGUAAUACGGACAGGUAAUAUCUAGUUUUUUCAAAUGGCUUAUUCGAAAGUCACAUAACAAGGACAUUUUCUUUUGACCUUUCUGAAAACUUGUUUCCCAAAGUGAUGUCUGGCUAUCUAUUAUCUUGGUCACUUUGGUCCUCACCAGAGUCAAAACUUCAGUGAAAGCACUAAUAAGUUAUUAAAAUAAUUAUAUAUUUAUAUAUAUAUAUGGAAUAUAUAUGUAGUUAUAUAUAUAUAAUAGCUAAUAAUUAAAUAUUAUUUUAAAUAUUUAAUUAUUAUUUAAAUAAUUAGAUACCUUCUUUUUUCUUUCUUUCCUUCUUCCUUGUUUUCUUUCUUUUCUAUUUUCAGUAGGGGGGCUAUCUAGAAAGAAGUAUGUUGGGGAAAAUGUAUAAUUGAAGAUAUCCAUGAAUUAAGUACAAGGACAAAUAGUGAAGCUGGUACAGGUCUUUGCUGUUCUCUGAUUCUCAAAAUCACUGGUGGAGGAGAUAGACAGGACACGGCCCCGAUUACAAGACACACAUCAGCCUGGAAGAAGGAGGAAGAAGAGAAGAAGAAGGGGAAGGGAGAAGGAGGAAGAAUUAACAUUGGAGGGCUUACUAUGCGCCGGUCACUGUUCUGAGACUUUUCUAAUAUUAAAUUCAUUUGAUUCCCACAUCAACAGUACAGUUUCUAUUACUAUCCUAAUAUUUUAGAAAGCAGAGCAGUAGGGAUUCAAAAUAAUCUGCCCAAGUCAUACGGCUACUAAAAUCAGAGCCCAGAAUUCCCAAAGUGGGUGUUGCAGUGAUUGUGAACGCUUGUCAUGAACUUGCUGCGUAGACGGACACAUGAGUUGUGUCUUUCCCCUGUGUCAGUUCCAUUUGGUCACAAAGCAAGGUUAACAUAAUUAGCAGAUUCAGGAUCCAAACUCAGUGACAUCUCACCACGUGUUUAACCUUGGCUUGUAGAAGUCACGCAACCAAGGGCACCGGGGUAGCUCAGUUGGUUAAGUGUCUGACUCUUUUUUUUUUUUUAAGAUUUUUUUUUUUUUUAAGAUUUUAUUUAUUUGACAGAGAUAGAGACAGCCAGCGAGAGAGGGAACACAAGCAGGGGAAGUGGGAGAGGAAGAAGCAG